UACGUAGGGUCCAAGCGUUAUCCGGAAUCACUGGGCGUAAAGCGUUUUGUAGGCGGAAAAUCUAAGUGAGAUGCGAAAUCUUGUGGCUCAACCAUAUAGACGGUAUCUCAUACUGGGUUUCUAGAAGAUAGCAGAGGUAAGUGGAAUUAGUAGUGUAGCGGUAAAAAUGCGUAGAUAUUACUAGGAACACCAAUGGCGAAGGCAGCUUACUGGGCUAUAUUUGACGCUGAGAAACGAAAGCGUGGGGGAGCGAACAGG
rnacentral:rRNA from 1 species